rnacentral:rRNA from 1 species
GCUUAACACAUGCAAGUCGAACGAUGAUGCCCAGCUUGCUGGGCGGAUUAGUGGCGAACGGGUGAGUAAUACGUGAGUAACCUGCCCUUGACUCUGGGAUAAGCCUGGGAAACUGGGUCUAAUACUGGAUACUACCUCUUACCGCAUGGUGGGUGGUGGAAAGGGUUUUACUGGUUUUGGAUGGGCUCACGGCCUAUCAGCUUGUUGGUGGGGUAAUGGCUCACCAAGGCGACGACGGGUAGCCGGCCUGAGAGGGUGACCGGCCACACUGGGACUGAGACACGGCCCAGACUCCUACGGGAGGCAGCAGUGGGGAAUAUUGCACAAUGGGCGGAAGCCUGAUGCAACGACGCCGCGUGAGGGAUGACGGCCUUCGGGUUGAAAACCUCUUUCAGUAUGGAAAAAGCGAGAGUGACGGUCCCUGCACAACAACCGCCGGCUAACUACGUGCCAGCAGGCGCGGUAAUAUCUAUGGGG